GAAGCUGACCAGACAGUCGCCGCUUUGUCGUCGUCCCUCUCUGAGGGAGACGGGCAAAGGGGAGGAAAGUCCGGGCUCCAUAGGGCAGGGUGCCAGGUAACGCCUGGGGGGGAAACCCACGACCAGUGCAACAGAGAGCAAACCGCCGAUGGCCCAGUAAUGGGAUCAGGUAAGGGUGAAAGGGUGCGGUAAGAGCGCACCGCGCGGCUGGUAACAGUCCGUGGCACGGUAAACUCCACCCGGAGCAAGGCCAAAUAGGGGUUCACAUUGUACGGCCCGUACUGAACCCGGGUAGGCUGCUUGAGCCAGUAAGCGAUUACUGGCCUAGAUGAAUGACUGUCCACGACAGAACCCGGCUUAUCGGUCAGUUUCGACU
rnacentral:RNase_P_RNA from 1 species